rnacentral:rRNA from 1 species
AGUGAACGCUGGCGGUAGGCUUAACACAUGCAAGUCGAACGGCAGCACAGUAAGAGCUUGCUCUUACGGGUGGCGAGUGGCGGACGGGUGAGGAAUACAUCGGAAUCUACUUUUUCGUGGGGGAUAACGAAGGGAAACUUACGCUAAUACCGCAUACGACCUACGGGUGAAAGCAGGGGAUCUUCGGACCUUGCGCGAUUGAAUGAGCCGAUGUCGGAUUAGCUAGUUGGCGGGGUAAAGGCCCACCAAGGCGACGAUCCGUAGCUGGUCUGAGAGGAUGAUCAGCCACACUGGAACUGAGCCGCGGUCCAGGCUCCUACGGGAGGCAGCAGUGGGGAAUGUUGGACAAUGGGGGCAAGCCUGAUCCAGCCAUACCGCGUGGGUGAAGAAGGCCUUCGGGUUGUAAAGCCCUUUUGUUGGGAAAGAAAAGCAGCAGGUUAAUACCCCGCUGUUCUGACGGUACCCAGUGAAUAAGCACCGGCUAACUUCGUG